rnacentral:lncRNA from 1 species
AGUUAAAAAUGAAGCUCACCAUUGCUUUAGUCGUACUAUUGUCAGCCGUAUGCAUUAAUGCACAUGCUCCAUGUUAUGGUAAGGGUUGUGGAUAUAGAAACAUUGGCUAUGAUAUCGGACAUGUCGGCUAUGGUUUAGGAUAUGGCGGCGCUGGAUUGGAUAUGGCGGAGUUGGUGGAUUAAAUUUAGGAUAUAUCGGUGGAUAUGGAGGAUUAGGUUUGGGAUAUGGUGGUGAUUACGUUGGAUAUGGUGGCAGAUCUAUUGUGGGUGGCGGAUACCAUGCAAAGAAAGAAGCUUAUUGAAGAUAUCUCUCCUCUUAAUGAUUAAAAGGACAUGAUAUUGCAUUACUAUCCAUAUUUUUAUUUCUGUAUAUAUACUGCAAUAAAGUUAUAGCCGGCA